UGGGAACCUUCCCUAUGGUUCGGAAUAGCCCAGGGAAACUUGGGGUAAUACCGAAUAAGCCCUUCGGGGAAAGAUUUAUCGCCAUUGGAUGGGCCCGCGUCGGAUUAGCUAGUUGGUGGGGUAACGGCCCACCAAGGCGACGAUCCGUAGCUGGUCUGAGAGGAUGAUCAGCCACACUGGGACUGAGACACGGCCCAGACCUCCGACGGGAGCAG
rnacentral:rRNA from 1 species